AGUGAACGCUGGCGGUAGGCCUAACACAUGCAAGUCGAACGGCAGCACAGUAAGAGCUUGCUCUUACGGGUGGCGAGUGGCGGACGGGUGAGGAAUACAUCGGAAUCUACUUUUUCGUGGGGGAUAACGUAGGGAAACUUACGCUAAUACCGCAUACGACCUACGGGUGAAAGCAGGGGAUCUUCGGACCUUGCGCGAUUGAAUGAGCCGAUGUCGGAUUAGCUAGUUGGCGGGGUAAAGGCCCACCAAGGCGACGAUCCGUAGCUGGUCUGAGAGGAUGAUCAGCCACACUGGAACUGAGACACGGUCCAGACUCCUACGGGAGGCAGCAGGGGGGAAUAUUGGACAAUGGGCGAAAGCCUGAUCCAGCCAUACCGCGUGGGUGAAGAAGGCCUUCGGGUUGUAAAGCCCUUUUGUUGGGAAAGAAAAGCAGCAGGUUAAUACCCCGCUGUUCUGACGGUACCCAAAGAAUAAGCACCGGCUAACUUCGU
rnacentral:rRNA from 1 species